UGGGGGGUGGAACAAGGAGAGAUGGGGGUGGAACAAGGAGAGACUGGGGGGGAAUAAGGAUUCCUAAAAUUUUAAUCUCUAGUUCAGGGCACACAAUUUCCAAUAAUUUCUAGCCAUUGGCUUGAAGUUUGUUUUUUAAAUUUUGAGGCUGCAUCAUGAGUACAUGCAGCACAUGACGCAGCAGCACAUUUUACUUUUUGCAACUAUGUGUCACUACUAUGUUUAUUCCGGAAUCCAUUAUAGAGAAACAUUUAGUUGAAUUAAUGUAAUUAAAUAAUAAUUUGAGAAUAGGGUAUAAUAAGGGGGAGAAUAAGGAGAGAUGGGGGAAUAAGGAGAGAUGGGGAGGGGAUAAGGAGAGAUGGGGAGGGGGGAAUAAGGAGAGAAAUUGGGAGGGGGGAAGGAAAUUGGAGGGGGGAUAAAGAAAGAUUGGGAGAGGGGGAUAAAGAAAGAAAUUGGGAGGGGGAGAGAGAAGGAAAUUGGAGGGGGGGGGAGAUUGACAUUCAUCACACACAAUGCACCCCUUGCACACAGAAAAAACACACAAUGCAUUACACACACUGCAUUACACACACAGACACACAUACACAAGCAAUGCAACCGUUACACACAAUGCAUCCCUUACACACACAGAAACACACAAUGCAUUCAUUACACACACUCAAUGCACCCCUUACACACACUCAAUGCAUCUCGUACAUACACAGAAACACACCUUGCAGCCCUUACACAUACAAACACAGAUUCACACAAUGCAUUCCUUACACACAUAUCAGGACAUCCCCUACACACUCCACCCCCUGUGAACAAACUCAUUGGUGGAACAUGAAGGUGGACCCUGGGACCCAGACCUUGAGCUGUGUAAAGGGC